UUUUCCAUUUGAAGUUCUUAUUGAGCGAAGAAACUACGCGGCAGAAUAAACAAACCUGUGUUCAUACUUGCCAAUACUAUCACUAUUAUGGUGGUAUCUUAUUGGAGUAUGACGUAUUAACCCUAUUUAAAAUAUUAAUCCAAAACACCUGAAUUUUUGAGAUGCUCCUCAAGUCUAAUUAGUUUACUAAAUGCAACGAACCCGAACAUGCCAAAUGUCAUACCAAUUACACCGAAUUCGUAUCCACUAAUGCCAAAUGCUUCCAUAUUCAUUAUCCCUCUAAAUUUUACAAUAUAGCUAAACCUA
rnacentral:misc_RNA from 1 species